rnacentral:rRNA from 1 species
GACGAACGCUGGCGGCGUGCCUAAUACAUGCAAGUAGAACGCAGUUGCGAACGGGUGAGUAACGUGUAGGUAACUGCCUCAUAGCGGGGGAUAACUAUUGGAAACGAAAGCUAAUACCGCCUACUGUGAGAUGGACCUGCGUUGGAUUAGCUAGUUGGUGCGGAAAAGGCUCACCAAGGCGACGAUACAUAUGCGACCUGAGAGGGGGAUCCGCCAACAUGGGACUGGGGCACGGCCCAGACUCCGUCGGGAAGCAGCAGGUGGGAAACUUCGGCAAUGGACGGAAGUCUGACCGAGGAACGCCGGGUGAGUGGAGAAGGUUUUCGGAUCGGAAAGCUCUGUUGUUUGGGAAGCGGUACCUAACCAGAAAGGAACGGCUAACUACGUGCCAGCAGCCGCGGUAAUUC